rnacentral:lncRNA from 1 species
ACCAUAGUAGAAAAAUCCCAUUUCAACAUAAUAUAGGAAGCUCACAUAUUAGAAUCGCUGCCGUAGUCCUUUCCCGUAGUAGUAUUUCUCUCCCAUCCAACCAUAGUAGAAAAUCUCAUUUCAGCAUGAUAUAGGAAGCUCACAUAUUGACCUUGCACACCUUAUCCCUUCCCAUGCCGCCCUCAAUUCUGCAAUUAAAACCAUUAUGUCAUUCAAAUGGUUGCCACCUAUUGCCA